CCCACAGUGAUUCUAGGCGACAGACUUCGUGUAUCCUCUGCGCACCUUCCGCGUUUGUAUGACACGCACUGCUGGCAACAUCUACAGCCUCUGUUUCACGGUUAAAGUGCGUUAGUCAACUUCAUGACAAACUAUUUUAAAAGUACAGUCUUUCAUGAAAGGAUUUAUCAGAGGACUGCGAUGUGGCGUUGUCAUUUCAUUCUGUGUCUGACAUGUCUCGCGUUUAGUCAGUCUGCGGAUCCGCUUUGUAGCAGCGCUCCAGACUUCAGGCAUGAUCAAACUCAGUCGGUUUCUGGGAUGCUCGGACACAGCGUGGUCCUCCAAUGCAAAGCCUCCAUGGGUUUGAACCGCACAGGUUCAGACUGCAAAGACCACCUGGAGUGGAUGAAAGAUGGCACACUGCUAACCAACCUCACCA